GACGAACGCUGGCGGCGUGCUUAACACAUGCAAGUCGAGCGGAAAGGCCCUUCGGGGUACUCGAGCGGCGAACGGGUGAGUAACACGUGAGUAACCUGCCCCAGACUUUGGGAUAACCCUCGGAAACGGGGGCUAAUACCGGAUACGACACAGCUUCGCAUGGGGUCUGUGUGGAAAGUUUUUCGGUUUGGGAUGGGCUCGCGGCCUAUCAGCUUGUUGGUGGGGUGAUGGCCUACCAAGGCGACGACGGGUAGCCGGCCUGAGAGGGCGACCGGCCACACUGGGACUGAGACACGGCCCAGACUCCUACGGGAGGCAGCAGUGGGGAAUAUUGCACAAUGGGCGGAAGCCUGAUGCAGCGACGCCGCAUGAGGGAUGACGGCCUUCGGGUUGUAAACCUCUUUCAGCAGGGACGAAGCGUAAGUGACGGUACCUGCAGAAGAAGCGCCGGCCAACUACGUG
rnacentral:rRNA from 1 species